rnacentral:rRNA from 1 species
UACGUAGGGGGCAAGCGUUGUCCGGAUUUAUUGGGCGUAAAGAGCGUGUAGGCGGCCAAGCAGGUCCGCUGUGAAAACUCGAGGCUCAACCUCGAGACGUCGGCGGAAACCAUCUGGCUAGAGUCCGGAAGAGGAGAGUGGAAUUCCUGGUGUAGCGGUGAAAUGCGCAGAUAUCAGGAAGAACACCCGUGGCGAAGGCGGCUCUCUGGGACGGUACUGACGCUGAGACGCGAAAGCGUGGGGAGCGAACAGG